GCAAAGUGGCGAAGCGGAAGUAAAAUAUGAAACGUGUUCAGUACAGUCUUUCUGCGAGUUACGCGAAUAAUGCGUUCCGGAGACAUUCGCGUCUCAACCCGCCAAGUACUUGGAGGUUCAAGUGAACACUGGAAAACCAGAUUCUUUACCGCCAUCGAUAACUGAAGAAGCAGCUUGUUGGAUAUGUAUGUUGGCCUGCUCACAAUAGGUGCUGGUAAAGCAAGAUGGGUGUCGCCCUGACAUGAACAUGAAAAGGCCCGGAGUCUCCCGGAGUCGUUCGGAGUCGCCUGGAGUUGCCCGAAGUCGUUCGGAGUCGUCCGGAGUCGUUCCGAGUCGUCCUCGAGGUUGUUGCCGUCAACUAAUAUGCUACAUCUCAGUUGUGCCUGACUGACUGAACCACUUGGAACUGGUAUUUCUUCUUGAUUGCAUUGAUCGUCAAACCAAUUAUUGCUGUUUCGUCUUGAAGUGUGCACCUUAUACUGUCGCUGUCGUUUCUCCGACAUCAAUGUUUCUCGUGUAGCCAAGAAAUUUGAGAGACUGGUAGAGAAGCCUACCACUUGUAUAUCCUCGCGUUUCAUGUAACAGUUUUCAAGGCGAUAUCGAAGAGUAGACAGAAGAGUGUAUUGUGUCCUUGCGUCCGAACUCUGCGAGAUUCGAACAAGUGUGACUUCAUGUGCAUCUCCGACCCCAUGUAAAAGAGCUCAUCCCUCAUACCAUACCCAUCGGUGCUAGCAGACUUGUGGCGCUUAAAGAGACAGAGUAACCAAAAAUAAAACAUACGUCGGCUAGCUCCCAAGAAAUUUACAGAACCACGGAUUAUAUGUUUACGACAUAAGGUAAGGAUAGUAGUUGUAGUUGUAGUUGUUAAUUUGCAGAGCUAUCUGACUAGCUAAUGGACAGAGACUGCUUGCAUUACCUCAAUGAUCUCCAAUCUGUGGUCUGUGGCAUGCAAAAAUGUGGUGCGAAAAAUAAUUGAUGUUUUGAAAAGGAAAGCUUAUAACAACAUGUACUACAUUUUUUCCAAUAAUCAAGAUUACAUUUUCAAUAUACUUGUCUAGAAUAAGAGCAAAACCAAUCAAGCAGCUUUGAAAAAAGUGUACGAAAUAUAUGUCUUUAAUUUGGCCGAUGAAACUGUAUAUGAAAUGGUAUGCGGUUCGUGA